rnacentral:miRNA from 1 species
UCCUUUUCAAGCUGUUGAUCUU